rnacentral:rRNA from 1 species
UAAUACGAAGGACCCAAGCGUUAUCCGGAUUUAUUGGGUUUAAAGGGUGCGUAGGCGGGUUAUUAAGUCAGUGGUGAAAGCCUACAGCUUAACUGUAGAAUUGCCAUUGAUACUGAUGAUCUUGAGUAUGAUUGAGGUGGGCGGAAUGUGUCAUGUAGCGGUGAAAUGCUUAGAUAUGACACAGAACACCGAUUGCGAAGGCAGCUCACUAAGUCAUAACUGACGCUGAUGCACGAAAGCGUGGGGAGCAAACAGGAUUAGAUACCCUGGUAGUCCACGCCCUAAACGAUGAUCACUCGAUGUGUGCGAUACACUGUACGCGUCUGAGCGAAAGCAUUAAGUGAUCCACCUGGGGAGUACGACCGCAAGGUUG